ensembl:lncRNA
UUUUUUUUUUUUUUUUUUUUUUGUCUUGUUAGGGCUGCAGCAGAUGGAGGGUUCUAGAUCCUGGGUCGAAUCAGAGCUGCAGCUGCCGGUCUACACCACAGCCACAGUCACACGGGAUCCAGCCACAUCUGCGACCUACACCACCACUCACAGCAACGCUGGAUCCUUCACCUGAGGAGCGAGACCAAGGAUCGAACCCAUGUCCUCAUGGAUCCUAUUUGGAUUCAUUUCCCGCUGAGCCAUGAUGGGAAUUCCCACAUUCCCUUUUAGGAACUGCAUUUUCACUUUGUCAAUGUGUAUACAUGCAUAACGUCCUGCCCUAAACGUGGAGGUAAUUACAUGAACAGUUAUGACAUGAAAGUCUUGCUUCUUUGCCAAGACCUAUUUUUUUUUAAUCUUUGGGAUUGCAGAAAUAUCAAAUAAGAUAUGCAAUAUCCCUUUAUCCCUCGCUAUUUUAGGGCCGCACCCUCGGCAUAUGGAGGUGCCGCCCUCGAAAGACAAACUCAAUACCGUCAUCACCACGGUGACCAGAAGCAAGGGCUCUGACCAAAAGCAAGGCAACCCCUGCGGCAGCAGAAUCUGUCACCCAAAUGAAAGGCGAACUCACCCGUUCAAGGAUGAGCUAGAUCACAGGCUUCGGCAGUAAAACCUCCCCCAACAAGAACUACUCAUGUGCAAGGAGACAGGUGAGUCUCUGACUCACUGCUUUUCUUUUUUCCAGGUAAGUUGUUUUCUGAAGGUGUCAGGAUAGAUAAAUGGCACCUAUUGCCCAGGCAGAAUUUCCAAAAGAGGAAAACUCUAGAGAGAGUUUGCCUUGGUGAUGGCCUUUCCGAUUUGGGGAGGUCCUUCCAAGGCCAGCGUUCUCCAUCUCUGCCCUCUGCCGAAUGGUCAUCUUUGGAAUCGACCCCAAACAGAAGGUGGCCGAGGACCCACCUCUCGCCCCUCCCUGCGAGCCCCGGGCGUGAGCUCCGGCUCUGCCUCAGCACACAGAGCCCCACGUGUCUGCCCCCCCACACACACCCCAAGAUGCCGAUCCCAGGCGCCCUCGGCCUCACAAAGGCUUUCUUUCAGCAGAGCCUGAGCCCCGCCAGCCUCACCCAGCCUCAGAUCUACACCGCCCUUUGUGAGGUGAAGGGGCUCCUGAGGUAAGGAUCCCGCCGGGUAAAAUCAUCCACCGAAUUAAAGGUCAAGCGCUUGCGAGAACCCUGGGGGGGGCGGGCUGCCCCCUGGGGGGCUCUGCCUGCCAAACCUCCCUGACUCGCAGCCUGUCAUCACCGAUCCGCCAAAACAAACCACCUGGGGCACCUGCACAUGAGCCGGGCUCAGGAGGCGAGGGUGUGCAGGAAGUCAUGCACGGGAACCCGGACGGUGGCAGACGGCUUGCCUGCUUUCUAUUACCUGCUCAAAAACCCUGUGGGACUCUGCUCGGGGGACGUGGGAUAAAGCAGUGUGCAAGGUGCCAGAAGUGGAGCUUCUGCUCAGAAGCGCAAUGAACCAGUGGGCGGGCACCUCCGACGCCCAGGGUCCAGCCUGGACAGCCCUCCUGGACUCACUGCGACGGGACGGGUCAAGCAGGGGUUGGGGAGGGUGCUGGAGGCGCCUGGCUGGAGAUGAAAGGCUGGAAGGAGCACCCAGCGGUGUCUGACAGGGAGCUCCCACGUGGGGACAAGGCUGACGCACAGGGCGGGCAGGAACCGCCCACAAGAAGAAUCUCCCGUGCCCCGGUCCACCCCCCCACGCCUUCGCUCCAUCCGCGGUCAUGGCGGAUGAGGCGCAUCCGACGGGGCGAGUCUUGGGGACGCUGGGGUGGCUUGAACACAGGAGCCGGGGGACAACUUCAAAAGCACCAGGUGCCAGAGGCAAGAAUGUACAGUGGAGAAAAGACAGCCCCUUCCAUACAGGGUGCCGGGAAAACUGGACGGCCACUGUCCACGAAAGAAAUGAGAACCCUUCCUAACACCAGACACGAAAAUAAACUCCCAAUGGAUAAGACCUACAUAUAAGACCAGAUACUAUAAAACUCUUAGAGGAGAAACACCGGCCAAACACUCUCCGACAUAAAGACAGCAACAUCUUCUCAGAUCCACCUCUUAAGAGUAAUGACAAUAGAAACAAAAAUAAACAAAUGGACUUCGUUAAAUGUUGCUGCACAGCAGAGGAAACCCUAAACAACACGAAAAGACAACCCACAGAAUGGGAGAAAAUCUUUGCAAAGGAAUCGACUGGACAAGGGAUUCAUCUCCACAAUUUAUAAGCACCUCCUCCCGCUCCAUACCAAAAAAACAAACAACCCCAUCAAAAAACGGACAGAAGAUCUAAAGAGAUGAUUCUCCAAAGAAGACAUACGGAUGGCCAAAAAACACAUGAAAAGAUGUUCAACAUCACUCAUGAUUAGGACAAUGCAAAUCAAAACCACGAUGAGGUACCACCUUACACCAGCCAGAAUGGCCAUCAUCCAAAAGUCCACAAACAAUAAGUGCUAGAGAGGGUGUGGAGAGAAAAGAACCCUAUUUCACUGUUGGUAGGAUUGUAAAUUGGUGCGACCACUGUGGAAAACAGUAUGGAGAUGCCUCACAAAACUAAAACUAGACCUCCCAUUUGAUCCAGCAACCCCACUCCUGGGCAUCUAUCCAGAGAAAACCAUGACUCACUAAGACACAUGUACUCUGAUGUUCAUUGCAGCAGUAUCUGCAAUAGCCAAGACAUGGAAACCACCUAAAUAAAUUUCCAUCGACAGACGAGUGGAUCAAGAAGAUGUGGUCCAUAGACACAAUGGAAUAUUAGUCAGCCAUGAAAAGGAAAGAAAUAACAGCACUGGUAGCCACAUGGAUGGACCUGGAAAUUAUCAUGCUAAGUAAAGUCAGUCAGACAGUGAGACACCAAAACCAAAUGCUAUCACUGACAUGUAGAAUCUGAAAAAAGGACCCAGGGAACUUCUUUGCAGAACAGAUACGGACUCACAGACUUUGAAAAACUUAUAGUUUCCAAAGGAGAGAGGUUGGGGGGUGGGGGGAUGCACUGGGGGUGUCUGAUGGAAAUGCUGUAAAAUGUGGUUGUGAUGACUGCUGUACACCAAUAAAUGUAAUAAAAUGCAUUAAGUAAUUUAAAAAAUAAAGGGACUGCAUGAGGGGAAAAAACCCAAAAAGCAAAAACAAAAGCACCAGGUGUCUGUUCAUGCCCUCUGUCCUAUAAGAACGUAAGCCAGGUACCCAAGGGACUUCCGCCUCUGUGCCUUAAGGAUGGAGCAGCCCAUGUGGCACCGUGACCCCCCAACCCCGCACAGAACGGAGAUCCCACCUGUGAAGUGGGGGGAAGGGGACGCUCCUGGGAUUGGUGUGGCAGAAGCCUCCAGAGUGUCGGUUUUAUCAUUCCGGCAAGGGUCGCCUGGGCAAAAAGAACCUGCCUGUUUACGUAAGAACAUACCUGUGUUGUCAAGUUAGUCAACUUGCUCAAGACUCCUUGAGGACAAUCCUCCCUCUGUCACCUUCAUCUCCCUCCUCCACGCGCCUGCGUGUUGGCUUCUGGGAUCCCAUGUGGGCAUGGCCACCCGCCCAACAUGCCUGCCCAGCCUGCUGUCCCCUGGGGUCAGAGCUGCGUGCCUCAAGGUUCCAGACACUCUUGAGGUCAGGCUUUGUCACCUCACCUCGGAGCAAUCCUGUCUGCUGUGACAUCAGAACCAGUUCUGCUGGACCAGCACAGGGGAGGGACCAGGGGAGGGACCAUGAGAGGGGGACACAGGUCCAGUCCCACAGGAGAGGGCACAUCCAAGAAAGCCUCAAUUAACUCAUCUGUCCACCCCAGCGUGCGUGCAUGCACACACACACAUAGAUACACACACCCCUCCAGCCCCAUCCAUCCGCUGGUCCUUGGAUCCAGCUCUUCUCCUAGAAACCAACAGACAAGCUUUUUAUCAUCACCGUGGCUUCUCCCUUUACAGACAGCCAUGCUGCCGCAUCAUCAAGGCCAGGCUGGGAGCAGCUGUCCAGCCAGCACGAUCUCCCAAGAGCCUUCAUGACCCAGAAGAGGCAUCCACAGUCCCCUAGAAGAAGCAGGUGGCACACAGGAUAAGAUGUCCUGGUCCUCCUCCCCAGAACGUGGGGACACUUUUGUUCACAGGGCACAGGGCAAGCUGGGUUUCCGGGGCUCAUUACUGAUGCUCAUCAGUUCAUCCUUAAACAGGUGGAAGUGCAAGAGGAUUCUGGGAGUCCAGUGGAAUCACCAGGAUCCUUAGAAGAGUAAGAAAGAGACAGGAGAUGGAGAAACAGCAGCAUGAGAGCAACACGGCCCAGAGUUCCCACUGUGCCUCCAUGGGAUGGGUGGCGUCGGGGCAGCGUCAGAUGCAGGUUGGAUCCCCCGCCUGGCAUGGUGGGGUAAAGAUCCAGCACCGUGGCAGCUGAAGCUCAGAUCUGAUCCCUGGUCCAGGAACUUCCAUGUGCUGUGCAGUGGCCAAAAAAAAAAGAAGGAAAGAGAAAAAAAGGAAAAAAAAAAAAAAGAAGGAUACGAUUCAACAGUGCCCUCUUCCUUGACAAGCCCAGGCAUUCGGGCGGCUUCCAGAAGCUGGAAAAGGCCAGAAAACAGAUUCUGUCCUGGAGCCUCCCAAAGGCGGAAGGUCCUGCCCGCACCUGGAGUUUUCACCGCGUGACACCUGCUUUUCAGAUUCCUAACCCUGGGAACUGCAGGCUGAUGAAUGCACGCUGUUUUACGCCACUGAGGGUGGGCUAAUGUGUAAUGGGAGUCCCUGCUCAAAUGCACGACCUCCACCAGCUCCUCGCAAUGUGUGCCUCGUGUUCUGAGCCUGUCUCGUGCGCAGGCACCAUGCAAAUUCCUUCCAGGCGGUUUGGGUGGCGUCACAAGGAGGCACUCUGUGCAUGAGGUGUGGACGCACCAGGUCGGCUGCAAGGAGCAAGCGCCAACUCCAUGCAAAGACCAGCGCCAUCCGGCCCUAAAGAUGAGAUGAGCCUGUGAUUGGAAAAGAUGACCAUGAUGGGGGUGGGGGUGCGGGUGGGGGGAGGGUGAUGCUUGUCUUGGUUCUGAUCAGCCCAGUCUACCUGGAGUGAUGGCCAACUAUGCAUCAUGGGAAACUCCAAAGGCACUGCAGUACCAUGUGAUGCAUUAACAGGUUCACGGGAUUAUGGGCUGGACAGUGACCCCUCACCAAAGAAUUUCAUGUUGAAAUCUUAACCCCCAGGACCUCAGGAUGGGGCUAUGAUAGGAGACGGGUCUUUCAAGUGGAGAUGAGAUACAUGAGGUCACGAGGGGGGUCCUGAUGCCCCAGGACGGGGGUCCUUAGAAGAAGAGGAGGUCAGGACACAGACACGCACAGAGGGACGGCCCUGUGAGGGCACAGGGAGGAGACAGCCAUUGACACGCCAAGGAGAGAGGCCUCGGGAGGGACCCGCCCUGCCCAUCCCAGGGGCUGAGACUCCAGCCUCUAGGAUGGGGAAAGAAUGUCUGUUGUUUAAGCUCCCAGGUCUGUGGUACAUGGCUUCUCCAAGCAAACUCCUGCAACAGAGUCCAUCCAGGGAGUUCCUGUUGUAUCACAGUGGAAACAAAUCCGACUAGAAACCAGGAGGAUGCAGGUUCGAUCCCCGGCCUCGCUCAGUGGGUUAAGGACCCAACAUUGCCGUGCGCUGUGGUGUAGGUCGCAGACGCGGGUCAGAUCCCGAGUGGCUGCGGCUGUGGCGCAGGCCCACAGCUGUAGGUCGAUUCGACCCCUAGCCUGGGCACCUCCAUGUGCCGCAGGUGCUGCCCUAAAACAACAAAGAAAGGAAGUGAAGAUGGGGAUGAUGGCAGAGGUAUGAGGAUAAAGACAGGGAGAUGCGGGCACGUGGCCACCGGCGAGGAGAGGUGCUGAUGAAGGCUGUGGUGAUGAGGCUG